rnacentral:rRNA from 1 species
GUGAGGAAUUUUCCGCAAUGGGCGAAAGCCUGACGGAGCAAUGCCGCGUGAAGGAUGAAGGCCUAUGGGUUGUAAACUUCUUUUCUUAGAGAAGAAUAUUGACGGUAUCUGAGGAAUAAGCAUCGGCUAACUCUGUGCCAGCAGCCACGGUAAGACAGAGGAUGCAAGCGUUAUCCGGAAUGAUUGGGCGUAAAGCGUCUGUAGGUGGCUUCAAAAGUCUCCUGUCAAAGAUCAGGGCUUAACCCUGGGCCGGCAGGAGAAACUCUGAGGCUAGAGUUUGGUAGGGGCAGAUGGAAUUCCCGGUGUGGCGGUGAAAUGCGUAGAGAUCGGGAGGAACACCAAAGGCGAAAGCACUCUGCUGGGCCACAACUGACACUGAGAGACGAAAGCGAGGGGAGCAAAAGGGAUUAGAUACCCCUGUAGUCC